UACGACCACAUCACGUUGAAACACCGCUUUGUGCGAUCACGGAAGUUAAGUAACGUCGAGCCUGGUUAGUAUUUUGUUGGGUGACCGCUUGGGAAAACCACCUGUUGUAA